rnacentral:rRNA from 1 species
AUUGAACGCUGGCGGCAGGCUUAACACAUGCAAGUCGAGCGAGCGGCGGACGGGUGAGUAAUGUCUUGGAAACUGCCUGAUGGAGGGGGAUAACUACUGGAAACGGUAGCUACUACCGCAUACCAUCAGAUGUGCCCAGAUGGGAUUAGCUAGUAGGUGGGGUAAUGGCUCACCUAUGCGACGAUCCCGAGCUGGUCUGAGAGGAUGACCAGACAAACUGGAACGGAGACACGGUCCAGACGCCUACGGGAGGCAGCAGGGGGGAAUAUUGCACAAUGGGCGCAAGCCUGAUGCAGCCAUGCCGCGUGUGUGAAGAAGGCCUUCGGGUUGUAAAGCACUGUCAUCGAGGAGGCGUUACUCGCAGAAGAAGCAACGGCUAACUCCGUGCCAGCAGCCGCGGUAAUAC